GCCACAUCACGUUGAAGCACCUGUUCACAUAUGACCAUGAAAGUUAAGCAAUGUCAGAGCCUGGUCAAUACUGAAAUGGGUGACCAUUUGGGAAUACCAGGUGCUGUAAG